GGAGGGUCAAGCCGACGGCUGGCGACGGCACCUGGUUCGAGGUCAGGCGAGGCAGCAAUGCCCUUGAGGGUUCGAUCCCCUCACCCUCCG
rnacentral:tRNA from 1 species